UCUAGGCUAUCUCCAACAAUUUUCAGUCUAAUCGGUUCAGCCGUUCUUGGGUUAUAUAUGGUGUAACUAACACGACUUUUUUAUAUACAUACAUAUAUAGAUAUUGAUAACAUCCUCUCUAAGCAGUUUAUGUUCAUAUUUUUAAUUUCGUUACUACUGUUUUUAUGUUUUUUUGCAAAUUUUUGGAAAAUAUAGUCAUCAGUAAUAUUGAAAUUAUUUAUUUUUAAAAUAUUAGUAACUCUUUUAUUAGAGCAUAUAUUUUUUUAUUUUAUUGCCGGUAUUAUCUUCGGCCGGCGUAUUAGGAUUUUCUUCUCCUAAGUAGUUUAAAUUUUGUAUUUUAUAUUCCUGUUUGAUUUGUCACCAUUCUUUUUUUGUUUUAUUUCGCCGGUAAAAAAUUCGGCUGGUGUCUUAGAAUUUUCUUGUCCCAAAUGGUUUAAAUUUUGUGGUUUUAUACGUUUACUUGGUUUUUCACUAUUAUUUUUUUGUUUUGUUGGAUUAUCAAAUGUGGCUCCGGUUUUAUUUAAGAAAUUAAUUCCAAUAAAGAGAUCGCUCUCUAGGUUAUCAGUUUCAUAAAAACGUUCUUGUGCUUACCGUAUUCUUAAUUACUAAGGUGUUUUUGUAUUAUAAAUUCCAGUUCGUAUAUACAUAUGAACUGGUUGCCUUCGUAUCUAUUAAAAUUCUACUGAACGGUUUUCGUAUAUGUUUUUAUAAUAAUGUAUAUAGAAAUCAGAGUUAACCCUUAAAAAGUGGUUUUCGCCAAUAUUAUUAAGUCUUUAAAUUUUUGGUUGAGGUUGUGUGCUUGCUUGUGCAUUUUCAUUUUGCCUCUUUGGUAUUUUUGGUGGUUGGUAAUUGGUUUGCCAAUUGUAUUUGUUACCCCUAGCCUGUUGUUUGUUUGUUUGUAUAGGCCUGGGGUUGCCUGGGUGAAUUGAUUGAUUCACAUCCAUUGGUUCUGGACGAUUGGGUUAUUUUUGAUUCGUAUUAGUAUUCCUUUGCGGAUACUUCAAGUUAUUUUAAAAGUUUCUAUUAAUUGAUGUUAUUUUCGAGAAUCAAUUUCUUUUUUUUUUUUUAGAGAAAUGUAAAGCGAAUUGUGAUCUCAAUUGGUUUGACUGAAGUUCUUGCGCUUUAGCAAGUGUAUUAGGCAAAUCAGUAAGCGUUAAGCUAGCGAAAAUUCACGGAGAAGAAUUUCAAAAACCAAAAAUUUUUAUUAGGUUAUCGAAAGCAUGGAAGACGAUGUAUUUUGUUCCCAUUUUCAAAUGAAGAAAAGUACAUUUCAGAAGUUGCAGAUUGCGAUUAAGCCCUGGUGGAAUUCAAGUGAAACUGGACGUAUAGCAAUAACGUUGAACAAAGCUUUACAUAUAACAAUUUGGAAGCUAUGCAAUAAAUGCUCUUUCAGAGAUGUCAGCGAUCGGUUUGGUGUGGCAGCUGGCCUCGCAUAUAAGGUGUUUCUGAAAAUAAUUAAAAUGAUUUGCCGCUUGAAGGGAGAUGUAAUCAAAUUUCCCAAAACUGCAGCGGAACAAAAACAAGUAAAUGAAGAAUUUACAAACCUGCGGUAUAAUCCUUUUCGUUUUGUAAUUGGAUGCAUCGACGGAACUCAUAUUCCAAUUUCGCAGCCAAUCAAAGAUGAAAUCAGCUAUCGCAACCGAAAGGGAACGUAUUCAAUCAUUGCACAGGCUAUUGUAGAUAGUCGAAUAAGGUUUAUAGAUGCAUUUAACGGCUGUCCAGGUGCAUGCCACAACGCAUCAGUUUGGCAAAGGAGCUCUGUUAGGAAAGCUAUAAUUAGCAAGGAGAUUAAAAUCUGUUCUAAUUACAAUUUGUUGGGCGAUGGAAGGUAUCCAUUAGAAUUGUUCCUAAUGAUGCCCUAUCGUGAUAACGGGUUCUUAACACCAAUGCAGUCAAAAUACAAUGCGAUUCUGUCUUCAACUUGCGUUGUUGUGGAACAGGCAUUUGGCGUUUCAAAAAAAAAUUAGAAUUCUCAAAUACAUACAUCGAAGCUCAACGUCCAUAUAUACCAAAAUUAAUUACAACGGCAUGCAUGAUUGUUCACAACAUAAUAAUUGAAAAUGAAGGCUAUUAAUUCGGUGAAAUAGAUGAAGAAAAAGCACAUACUGAGCCCCAAAUAGUCGAAGAUACGACUACAUCGGGACAAAGGGAGGCAAAUGCAAAAAGGGAUGCACUGGCCACGCCAUUGUCUGCCUAAUUGAAAACAGUUUGGACUUUAAAGUUUUAGUUGUUUUUUAAACUUUAUUAAAUCCAAUAAAGAAAAAA